rnacentral:rRNA from 1 species
GAUGAACGCUGGCGGCGUGCCUAAUACAUGCAAGUCGAGCGAACGGACGAGAAGCUUGCUUCCCUGCUGAUAGCGUCGGAUGGGUGAGUAAACCGUGGAUAAACUCCCUAUAAACCUGGCUUAACUUCGGGAAAACGGAGCUAAUACCGCUUAAUAUUCUGCAUCGCAUGGUUCCACAGUGAAAGACGGUCUUGCUGUCACCUAUAGAUGGAUACGCGCUGCAUUAGCUAGUUGGUAAGGUAACGGCUUCCCACGGCAACGAUGCUUAGCCGACAUGAGAGGGAGAACGGCCAGACUAGAACUGAGACACGGCGCAGACUCCUACGGUAGGCAGCAGUAGGGAAUCUUACGGAAUGGGCGAGUGCCUGACGUAGCAACGCCGCGUGAGUGAUGAAGGUCUGCGGAUGGUAGAACGCUGUUAUUAGGGAGUAAGAUAAGUGUAAGUAGCAGUGAAGAUCAUGACGGUACCUAAUCAGAAAGCCACGGCUAACUACGUG